GUUUCAGAUAGGCAUGAACCUCCCCUGGAGAGAACAUCUUUGAAAUGUUCUCCCUUUCACUGCUGUUGCAGUAUCCUGUUUUGGAUUCUAGACAAUAAAGGAACAACACUGGUUUUAAAUAUUUCAUUCCCCAGAAGGUUCAUACAAGCACAGGGUGUGCAAAGCUGAGGCCCUGUGUGUGGCCCUGCCCACAGCUGCUGUUUAAGUACUCCAUGCUUGCAUGACAAGAGCAGAAUACCAGUGCGUGUUUAGAAAGAAGUCUUUCCAGGAGAAAAAUUGGUUCUUAGUGGGCAGAAACAGAUGUGGAUGACUUUGAAAACUGGCAAAGGGACAGUGAAUUGGACUCUGCAACAGGAAUGGGAUGCAGAACAGUGCAACAGAGUGUCCUGCAGCAAAACGAGACGGACCUUCAUGCAGUGUCAGCUCCAGCACUGGUGAGGACUGUUUGCAUUCAGAGAAGCAAUAUUCAACAUUUGUUGUUUCAAUACCUGAAGUUGUGACCACUGAAAACUUGGAGGAGCUGCUUCAUUGAGCACGGAGCUCGUGACGAGAGGCCUGAAAGCAGGAAUUCAGAGCUCCUACUAACAAAUGGAAAAGAAACUUUGGAGUGUGGACCUAAGUAAUAGAAUCAUCAAAUCAUUUAGUUUGGAAAAGACCACUGAGAUCAUCUAGUCCAACCAUCAACCCAUCCCCACCAUGGCCACUAACCAUGUCCCUCAGUGCUACAUCUACACAUUCCUUGAACACCUCCAGGAAGUGACUUCACCACCUCCCUGGGCAGCCUGUGCCAAUGCAUCACCACUCCUGAGAAGAAAAUUUUCAUAAUAUCCAACCUGAACCUCCCCUGGCACAAUGUAAGGCCAUUCUGUCUUGACUUAUUGCUGUAACCUGGGAGAAGAGGCUGACCCUCACCCCAUCACAACCUCCCUUCAGGAAGUUGUAGAGAGUAAUAAUGUCUCUCCUGAGACUCUAGUCAUGGGUAGGACAACCCAACCUACAAAGAUAAAAGUGAACAUCACAAUUAUUUACAAUAUUUACAAUGACUUUAGACAGAAAUCUGAGUCAAAUCAACCCAUGGAAUUGCUUUGCUUCUAAAACUUAAUAUACAUUACAGUUAAACCACAAUAGUAAAAUCCCCACUAAACAUGAGGAAAGGGAAAUGGCAAGCUGACUGCAGUAAGAUGUAAAAGCUUGUCUGAACUCAGAUGUGCCCUAUGUGGUUCCUGGACACAGGGCAGUUUCCAUGAAAUGCCCCACAUCUGACCCUUGGACAAAAUGUCACCUCAUCUAAUCUGUCUGGUGGGACCAAGCCCAGACUGUGCUAACCCCCUAGAUGUGCCUAAAGAUGGGUUGAGAGAAGAACUCUGAGUGCCUGUAUCUAGGAACACUCCUUCAAAGUGUUUAAUUUCCUAGAAUUGUAAAGUCAUUUGAGCUGGAAGGGACCCUUAAAGACCAUCUAGUCCAAGUCCCCUGCAAUGAACAGGGACACUUACAGCUAGAUCAGGUGCUCAGAGCCCCAUCCAGCCUGACCUUGAAUGUCUCCAGAGACAGAGCAUCCAUCACCUCUCCAGGCAACUUUUGCCACUGCCUCGCCACUCUUGUUAUAAGAAAACUUUUUCCUUAUAUCCAAUCGAAACCUCCCCUCUUCUAGUUUGAAACCAUUUCCCUUUGUUCUGUCACAGCAGACCCUGCUAAAGAGUCUGUCCCCUUCUUUCUUACAGAUCCCCUUUAGAUAUUGAAAGGCCACUCUCAAAUAUCCACAAAGAGAGGGGAAACUUUCUCCUCUCCAGGCUGAACAGCCCCAGCUCUCUCGGUCUGUCCUCAUAGGAGAGGUGUUCCAUCUCCAGGAUCACUGUUGUGGCCAUCCUCUGGAUGUGCUCCAACAGGUCUGUGUCUCUCUUGUACUGUGGACUGCACAUCUGGAUGCAGUACUCCAGGUGAAGUCUUACCAACACAGAGCAGAGAGGAAAAUUUCUAGUCUUCACAUAUUGUAAGUAUUAAUAAGGGAAUUUCCUAGUAUUAGCACAACAAAAGAGGAAAUAUUAAAAUAAUAGCUGAUUAUGUGUGUGUAUGGGUAAUGCAGUCAUGAAAAACCCUUCAAGUCUAACGUUUUGUUGUCUCUCUAAGUACAUGCUCUUGAUUUUUGCAGUCAUUCGCUUUAACUACAGUCACAAGAACCUAGAACAGAGAGAAUGAAGUUCUGGACAGCAAAUAAGGAAGUAUUUGUAGUGAGUGUUGGCAGAACUGACACCACACCAGGUCACAGCCAUGUAUUACAGUCCAGCAUCCCUGGGGCAAGACUCCAAUAGCAAACUGGAAAGAUGCAGAUAGUUCAGCUUCCUGAAGCUGGCCCCAGUCCCACCACUCCCUGAACCCUGUCCAGCCCAGCUUCUGCCUAUGCUGCUACCCCUGGGGCCCAUCCAUCAGCAGGUUGUGUCCUCAUCACCCACCUCCUGCCUCCAGCUGCCCUCCUGCUGCCCCUCCCUCGCCAUGAGUCACAUCCUUCCUUCCUCCGCCUCUGUUUUCCCUCUGGCCUCAGCCCCAAUCUAUUUGAGCCAAUAUCCUUUCCUCCACCAUCAAUGAGCUUCAGCCUUCUUGGCAUUCUUUUCCUCUCCUUCUCUUUCCUUUGCCUCUUGAGGGGCUCGCACUGCAAAGCAGUCCAUUCUGGCUGUGCGUCCCGGCCCCAGCCCUGAGCCACACAGUGGUCAGUGCCCUCCCUGUCAUCAGGGCAGCUGGAGUGGGACCAGAGGAAGGAGAAUGCUUGGCAACCAUGCUGAGAAAAUGGAAGUCCCCACCCAACAAGAACAAACCUCUCCUCUCUCCCGCUGGUGUUUAGAAAUGGGAAAAAUUUGGACAGAUGUUCACGGGGCAGAAAAAGUGCAGCUCAGAAGCAGAAUGUUUUGUCAAAGACUUGUUUCUCCAAGUCUUGCUCUCUGCAGUGCUAGAAAUGUUUGGGCAGCAAUGUUCAAAACAGACAGCAGCAGUAACAAAUGCUGCCUGAAGCAAAAAUCCAGCAUAGAAAUUUUUCUUAACUGAAUGGGCACAAUUCUACAAGAGCUUGAAAAACAGCAUGUAUGGGACUGUCAGCACUCAUUCCAUACCGAAGCACUCUCAUAAUAUAGGUAACAUGGGUGACCAGAGCCUAUCCAAUUUAAUGCUGAAUGGAUUAGCUGUUUCAAUACCACAUUUGAAAUGUUUAUACAAAUGCUGGGCUCUCACAUAAUAAAGUGGUUGUGUAUUUUUUUCCUUUUAAGCUGAUUCUUCCAUACCAAUGCUGUACCAUAGCCUAAAGUAAUUUAAAUGAUUGACUAGCAGAAUGUGCUAAUAGCUUUGAUUAGCUUCAUUUAUUUGCAUAUAAUUAUUUGCUAAUUUCUCUGCAGUAAUUAGAACUGUGGCACAUUGCUGACAUGACUUUUUUUAAACAAGAAUGCUUUCAGUAAUAUUCCAACCUGUUUUAUGAUUCCCGACCGAUGCCUUCCAUAAAGAAAUCAGUGUCAGGAAAGAUGUUUCUGAAACAAAUACACAACUCUUGAUUUUGAGCAGUCACUGAGCAGUCAUAGCAGGUUGUGCUGUGGCUGUAUAUGUUAAAAAUCCAGAAGACCAGGAAAUACUAAAGUGACCCAAAGUUCUGCACAAAGUCCCAAAUAGUUUGGAAGAAAACACUGGUAGAAAAUAAUGCAAUACUGUAAUAAAUGUAUUUCAGUUGAUAAUUCCAUUUGUGGUAUUUAGGUGCAUCUACUCAAGUUAGUAAAUUACUAAUUAUGCAUACUGCAUUUUUUCUUACCAACUUUGGAGGCUACUUAGUGUAUUUUCUUAUCUCUUGUUAACAUCAGGUUAAUGUAGAAUUCUAAACCCAGUUCAUAGAAUCAUAGAAUCCUUAGAGUUGGAAGGGACAUCUGAAGGCCAUCUAGUUCAGCUCCCCUACAAUGAACAGGGACACCACAAUUAGAUCAGGUUGUCAACCUUGCCUUCAAAGUCUCCAGGGAUGGGGCAUCAGUCAUAACUCUGGGCAACCUGUUCCAGUGCCUCACCACUCUCACUGUAAAAUACUUUUUCCUUAUAUCUAACCUAAAUCUGCCCUCUUUGAGCUUUAAGCCGUUUCCCCUUGUUCUAUUAUCAAAAACUGCUAAAGAAUCUGUCCUUUCUGUAGCUCCCCUGUAGGUACUGAAAGGCCGCUGUCAGGUCACCUUACAGCCUUCUCUUCUCCAGGCUGCGCAGCCCCAGCUUUCCCAGCCUGUCCUUGCAGGGGAGGUUUUCCACCCCUGGGAUCAUUUUUGUGCCCCUCCUCUGGACGCUCUCCAACAGGUCCACAUCUCUCCUGUACUGAGGACUCCACAUCUGGACACAGUACUGCAGGGAUGUGAAAAAACAUCUGUCUGGGAUUUUAUGACUUCUGUUUCCAACUGAAAUUGGAAAAUGCAAGGACACACAAGAGGAGAAGAAGAUUUCAGCCUUCUGAACCUGUAGCUUUCUGCCACCACGUUGGCAUUUAGAAGCAAAGACUGUGCACAUAAAGUCAGCCCCUGCAAUGAGUACGGAGAAGACAACACCAUGUUCUUAGGCUGAGAAGAGUACUUGAAUAGAUGGCAUCAUUUAAAAAAAGAGUCUCUUUUGUCUAUAAUAAAAUAUUAAUUCAAUAUUUUGCAUUAGCUGUUCUUAUUUCCUUAUGUGCAGCAUUAUUUCUUACAGUUCUGGUAUAUUCUAAUAACUCUUCAAACUUAGGAGGGAAGACAUGCUUCUAAAAACUUCUUGCUAAUGGAGCAGUGAAAUUACAAGAUAGUCAUCUUAAUGCCACCGAGUUACAGCACUUUCCUGUUUACUAAAAUCGUUUGCUUUUCUUUUUCCAAAUGGCUUUGUUUUCCCCUUAGAUUUUCCAUCUCAGCAUGCUCUGCUGCAGAAAUAAACAAAUGAACACAAUGCUCUGGUGUGGCCCAAUCCUGGCUCUGCUUUAGCUGCCUCUGGGAAGUCUGCACGCUAUUUCAGCGCUCGGGUAUGUCAGCGCGAUUUCAGUAGGGUUGAGAUCCUUAAAGGAUAUCUGCCUAGGCCACUGUAUUAUUUAUGUCACUGUACAGCAAAACAAAUAAGGUGAGGCUUAAAACACAGGAAAAGAUAAUAGCAGGUCGUUUGUCAGCAGAGUUUUGAGAAGCCUAGUAACCUCUAACAUUUGAAAGAGCAUGGCACGUAUGUGGUGCUUCCAUGAAACCUUUUGUGGACUCCAGGCUAGCCCUGAUGACAGAAGAUUUUCCCCUCUUGGCAAAAUGAUCUGGUUUGCCUGGUGAUGUGGGAGCUGUGGCAAGGUGACCGGUCUUCUGAUGGUGAUGCAGGUGGUGAUGGUGGUAGUGGGGAAUGUUUCUUCCAGCCACUGAAUGCUGCUGCAGCCUACAGUUGAGACCAGGUAAAAUGUUAGCCAUGCAAUGUGUUUUACAGUGGAAAACAUGUAUUUGCUUGCAUAUUUAUGACCAAUUUAUUCUGUGCUUUUUGAUUUCAUGUGUUGUGUUCCUGGGCAGGGCUUGUAACCACACACCCCCUGGCAGUUCUCCAGGCAUGAUUAACUGCUGCAUUUACUCAUCUCUGUGGAUGAAAGAAGCCUACCCACACAAACUGCAGACCACUACGAAGUGCUAUUUAGCUAUUAGAAGGUUUCCUGAGUCAAAAUGUACAGCAGCAGUUUUAACGUUUUAUCACAGGAUCUUCUACUUUGUUGAAAACUGAGCAACCAUACCAGCUGAGACCGGAGUCCCACCUCACUCCAUAUACUGUCUCAAACCUCUGGAAAUCACUAUGGAGAAAUGCAGACAAAGCUAUAUGCUUCAGGACAGAAAGGUCAAGUUCAGCCCGUCCACUUUCCAGCCAGAAGCGGCGGCUGCUUGGGAACACAAAGUAUAGGAAAACAGAAACUGCAUCUCUAGCUGAUUCCAUUUUAAACAUCACCUGUAAAAUAAAACUCAAACCAAGAGCACAAAGCCUGGUUUGUCCGAGAAAACGUGACAGUCCCACAGAAGAAAGCAGCCCCUUCCUGGCCGACGGAUGUACCCUGAUGGAAACCACCCGAGCCAGCAAACACCGGGAUGCCUCACCGCGAAGGGAGGAAGGCGGGGAUGCCGGGGCACGGCUGGCGCCCGGUUAACGCAGCUCCCAGCUCUGCAGCAGCCGCGCUCCGCCCUGGCUGCCGGGGCAGCCCGCGGGCAGCUCCCAUCGCGAGCGCGUAGGGCCGUUCGUGGAGCUCUGAGUCACGCGAACCAAGCGCUCCGCUGAUGCAGCUAUUAGGAUGCCUGAUAAAUAUUUAUAGCCCCUCACCGCGGAGCUGAUUGACAGCACGGGGGCAAUCCCUACCGGCAGCCGCAGGCAGCCGCCUCGGGGACGGGAG
ensembl:lncRNA